CCUCCGACGAGACCUCCGGCGAGUCUACAGGCAGCUCCGUAUACCGUAGAAAACAGCGCAGCCCACACCUCUUACACUCGAAUACAGCAACCCCAUGGAUCACCAGCACAGAGGCGCAGUGGGGAGCGAUGAUCGGCUCAACAUGCUGCAGUCGCCCUUACACCGAGCCACAAGCCCCAGUUGGUCUUUCGACACUAUUCCAUGGCAUUUGGACAAUGUAUAAACUGAUGCUCAAUUGUUUUCCUUUCACACUUCUAAUUGAUGUAAUUCAUUACACUGAAAGGGCUCAUCAGCACUAUGUGGCAUACACAGAAGCAUCUCAAUUGAGACCAGCUGCAGCUACCAUACAUACUGAUGGAGGUUGCGUUAAUCAAGACUUUUUUUCGGGUACCUGAAUUCGCGUCUGACUGUGUGUCCUCACAGCCUCUGUGCCAAGCUUCCAAGAUCCAGUAAUCGGUGCCAUUCUUAGUCCUCUUCUAGUCUACCUGCACUACACUGCACGUGACACUACUAUUCACUUUUACUGUAUCUUUUGUUUUCAUUUACAAAUUUAGGUUUCUUCGAUGAGAUAAAAACGUGAAUUAUUUGUCAAUAAUCUUUUACUAUU